rfam:Legionella nautarum strain ATCC 49506 Lnau_ctg013, whole genome shotgun sequence.
AUUAACCCGACAGCGAGUAAUUUGUGAACCAAUACUCACACACAGGGGAGCGUCCUGUAGCCGGCGUUGCGCAAGCCCACUUUAGGUGGGAAGCCUGAACCGACACUCUGCCCCCCACCUGAACCAAAAGGGUUCAAAAUCUAGUCUGUCGGGCUUCUU